rnacentral:rRNA from 1 species
CCCCCCACACUGGUACUGAGACACGGACCAGACUCCUACGGGAGGCAGCAGUGAGGAAUAUUGGUCAAUGGAGGCAACUCUGAACCAGCCAAGCCGCGUGAAGGAAGACUGUCCUAUGGAUUGUAAACUUCUUUUGUGGCAGAAUAAACUACCGUACUUGUACGGUAUUGCAUGUAUGCCAUGAAUAAGCAUCGGCUAACUCCGUGCCAGCAGCCGCGGUAAUACGGAGGAUGCAGGCGUUAUCCGGAUUUAUUAGGUUUAAAGGGUGUUCAGGCUGCCUGGUAAGUCAGGGGUAAAAGUCGGUUGCUCAACGAUCGAAUUGCCUUUGAAACUGUCAGGCUCGAGUAUGGAUGCGGUAGGCGGAAUGUGUAGUGUAGCGGUGAAAUGCAUAGAUAUUACACAAAACACCGAUUGCGAAGGCAGCUUACCAAACCAGCACUGACGCUGAAGCACGAAAGCGUGGGGAGCGAACAGGAUUAGAUACCCUGGUAGUCCACGCCGUAAACUUUGCUCACUCGCUGUUGGCGAUAGACAGUCACCGGCCAAGGGAAACCGAUAAGUGAGCCACCUGGGGAGUACGCCCGCAAGGUUGAAACUCAAAGGAAUUGACGGGGGCCCGCACAAGCGGUGGAACAUGUGGUUUAAUUCGAUGAUACGCGAGGAACCUUACCUGGGCUUAAAUGUGAAGUGCAUUGAUUGGAAACAAUCAUUUCCGUCGGGACCCUUUACAAGGUGCUGCAUGGUUGUCGUCAGCUCGUGCCGUGAGGUGUCGGGUUAAGUCCCAUAACGAGCGCAACCCCUAUUGUUAGUUACCAGCGCGUGAUGGCGGGGACUCUAGCGAAACUGCCGGUGUAAACCGCGAGGAAGGUGGGGAUGACGUCAAAUCAGCACGGCCCUUAUGUCCAGGGCUACACACGUGUUACAAUGGCCGGUACAGCGGGCAGCUAGGCAGCGAUGUCAUGCUAAUCCCGAAAGCCGGUCACAGUUCGGAUUGGAGUCUGCAACCCGACUCCAUGAAGGUGGAUCGCUAGUAAUCGCGCAUCAGCCAUG